UGAAGACGGGUUAAAAAGAGUCCUAGAGGCUUAAAUGGAAGUGAAUGAGAUGUCUUAUUGCUGUACAUCAUCGGUUUUGUUUUUAUCUGGUGUUGAGUUGGCUCAUUAAGUUCUGUGUUCCAAGUGUUUAUUUGUCUAUUGUCACUUUCCAGUCAGCUCUUUGUAGCCUACAGAAAUGGAAGAGUGGAUGAAGCAGUCUCUGGGUUUUCUGGAUUGCUGGAUAGGUGGAGACCUGACAAAUUUCAAAGGCUGCUACCUGACUAACCAACUGCCUAUUCAGGAUGAGCAGAAGGGUACAAAUCUGCCUUUGGGAAAUACAUCUGAAAUGCAGAGAUAAACAAGUUUGCAUCUACGAAAGGAGAAUUGGAGAGAGGGGAGAAUUGAAAACACACCAGUGGUUAGAACAGAAGAGGAAAGUCCACUGCCCUUUAAGUUGAAACAGAAGGAAAGACAUGAAGGAAAGCCUUGAAUGAAAUGAAAUAAAC
rnacentral:lncRNA from 1 species